rnacentral:rRNA from 1 species
AGCGAACGCUGGCGGCAGGCCUAACACAUGCAAGUCGAGCGCCCAGCAAUGGGAGCGGCAGACGGGAUAGUAACACGUGGGAACAUGCCCUUCAGUACGGAACAACCAAGGGAAACUUUGGCUAAUACCGUAUACGCCCGUAAGGGGAAAGAUUUAUCGCUGAAGGAUUGGCCCGCGUCUGAUUAGCUAGUUGGUGGGGUAAUGGCCCACCAAGGCGACGAUCAGUAGCUGGUCUGAGAGGAUGAUCAGCAUCACUGGGACUGAGACACGGCCCAGACUCCUACGGGAGGCAGCAGUGGGGAAUAUUGGACAAUGGGCGCAAGCCUGAUCCAGCCAUGCCGCGUGAGUGAUGAAGGCCUUAGGGUUGUAAAGCUCUUUCGUCAGGGAAGAUAAUGACGGUACCCGAAGAAGAAGCCCCGGCUAACUUCGUGCCAGCCGCCGCCGUAACAC